rnacentral:rRNA from 1 species
AUACGUAGGUGGCAAGCGUUGUCCGGAUUUAUUGGGCGUAAAGCGAGCGCAGGUCGGUUUUUUAAGUCUGAUGUGAAAGCCUUCGGCUCAACCGAAGAAGUGCAUCGGAAACUGGGAAACUUGAGUGCAGAAGAGGACAGUGGAACUCCAUGUGUAGCGGUAGAAAUGCGUAGAUAUAUGGAAGAACACCAGUGGCGAAGGCGGCUGCCUGGUCUGUAACUGACGCUGAGGCUACGAAAGUAGUGGGUAGAC